rnacentral:rRNA from 1 species
UACGGAGGGGGCUAGCGUUGUUCGGAAUUACUGGGCGUAAAGCGCACGUAGGCGGCUUUGUAAGUUAGAGGUGAAAGCCCGGAGCUCAACUCCGGAAUUGCCUUUAAGACUGCAUCGCUCGAAUCAUGGAGAGGUGAGUGGAAUUCCGAGUGUAGAGGUGAAAUUCGUAGAUAUUCGGAAGAACACCAGUGGCGAAGGCGACUCACUGGACAUGUAUUGACGCCGAGGUGCGAAAGCGUGGGGAGCAAACAGG